rnacentral:rRNA from 1 species
AAAACUUUCAACAACGGAUCUCUUGGUUCUGGCAUCGAUGAAGACCGCAGCU